ensembl:lncRNA
AUAUCUAACUAGUAUUAGAUAGUCAAAAUUCAAACCAAUUUGCAUUCAGUUUACUUUAGCAGGAAGUAAUGGAAAGAAAUAGAACAACUGUUUUUUUUUUUUUUUUUUCCUUCUACUAUUUUUCUUUUUUUUGUAGGGAUGAGAUAUAUGGGGACCUUUGAAGCAGAUUGGCUAGCAAGAGCACAAUUCUUUACCUUGUUGCUGUAGCCACUAUCCAGAGGGCUGGACACAGACUAUUUAAAACCACUGUGCAAGAGUCAACAGGAUUAACAUGGAGUCGACUUCCUUGGGAAAUGGAGCCAAAGAGAUUCGAAGGAGACAGAAUACUUCAAGAUAUUGUGCUUUGUACAAAUUGAAGAUUUGCAUCAACCCUGCUUCAAGCAAGUCUAUCGGUGCCAUUUUUCCAACAACAUGUGUUCAUUUUGUGUCAUUGUGUUAUUUUGGUAAUUCUCAUAAUAUUUCAGAUUUUGCCAUUAUAUUUAUUGUGGUGUUCUGUGAUCUAUGAUCACCACAAUUGCCUUUGUUUUUGUAACCAUUGUAAUUGUUUUGGGGUGCCAUGCACAAACUAAACCAAUAUCAGAUGGGAAAGUUAAUUGAUAAACUUUGUGUGUGUUCUGACUGCUCCACCAACUGGCCAUUCAUCUCUCUCUUCCUCAGGCCUCUGUAUUCUCUGAGAUACACUAUUAAAAUUAGGCCAAUUAAUAUCCCCACAAUGGCUUUUAGAUCUUAAAGUGAAAGGAAGAAUUACACAUCUCUCACUUUAAACCAAAAACUAUAAAUAAUUAAGCUUAGUGAGGAAGGCAUGUUAAAGGUCAAGAUAAGCCAAAAGCUAGGCAUCUUGUACCUAACAGUCAAGUUUUGAAUGCAAAGGUAAUGUUUUUGAAAGGCAUUAAAAACGCCACACCAGUGAGUAUGAGAAUGAUUAGAAAGCAAAACAGCCUCAUUGCUGAGAGGGAGCAAGCUUUAGUGGCCUGGUUAGAGGAUCAAACCAGCCACAACAUUUCUUUUAUCCAAAACUGAAUCCAAAGAAAGGCUCUAAUUCUCUUUAGUUCUUUCAAAGGUGAGAGCAGUGAGGAAAGUUCACAGCUAGCAGAAGUUGGCUCGUGAGGUUUAACAAAAAAAGCCAUCUCCAUAACAUAAAAUAGUGCAAGACAAAGCAGCAAGUGCUGAUGGAGAAGCUGCAGCAAGUUAUCCAGAAUAUCUAGCUAAGAUCAUUGAUGAAGGUAGCUACACUGAAUAACAAAUUUUCAAUGUAGAUAAAAUAGCCUUCUAUUGGAAGAAGAUGCCAUCUAGGACUUCCAUAGCUUGAAAGAGUAAGUCAAUGCCUAUCUUUAAAGCUUCAAAGGACAGGCUAACUCUUGUUAGGAGCAAAUGAAGCUGGUGACUUCAAGUUGAAGCCAAUGCCCAUUGAUCAUUCUGAAAAUCCUAAGGCCCUUAAAACUUAUGCUAAAUCUACUCUGUCUGUGUUUUAUAAAGAACAGCUAACCCUGGAUGACAUCAUACCUCUUUACAGCAUUUUUUAAUGUACAUUUUAAACCCAUUGUUCAGACCCACUGCUCAGAAAAAAAAAAAAAAAAAAGAUUCGUUUCAAAAUAGUACUGCUCUUUGGCAAUGCACUUGGUUGUCCAGAAGCUCUGCUGGAUAGAUAGUAUUCCUCUGAUACAUCUGGGCAAAGUCGAUCGAAAAAUUUAUUUAAAUGAUUCAUUGUUCUAGAUACCACUAAGAACCCUUGUAAUUUGUGAUUCAUGGGGGGAGGUCAAAAUAUUAACAUUAAUAGGAAUUUGGAAGAAGUUGAUUCUAACCCUCAAGGAUGACUUUGCAAGAUUCAAGAUUUCUGUGGAGGAAAUAAUUACAGGUGUGGUGGAAAUCGCAAGAGAACUAGAAUGAUAAGUAAAGCCUGAAGAUGUGGCUGAAUUGCUGCAAACUUAUGAUAAACCUUGAAUAGAUGAAGGUUCUUUCUUACAGAAGAGC